UACGGAGGGUGCGAGCGUUAUCCGGAAUUACUGGGUUUAAAGGGUGCGUAGGCGGCCAUGUAAGUCAGGAGUGAAAGUUUGCGGCUCAACCGUAAAAUUGCUUUUGAUACUGCAUGGCUAGAAUCAGGAUGAGGUCAGCGGAAUGUGGCAUGUAGCGGUGAAAUGCAUAGAUAUGCCAUAGAACACCAAUUGCGAAGGCAGCUGGCUAGACCUGUAUUGACGCUGAGGCACGAAAGCGUGGGGAGCGAACAGG
rnacentral:rRNA from 1 species